rnacentral:lncRNA from 1 species
GGAGUCAGUGUAAAGAGAAGGCUAAGGAUAACUCGGCUCUGGAGAGUAGAGAAUAUGCCUUCUCUUCUGCCCCUCCAGGAACCUUACUUUUUUUUUUUUAAACAAAAAACAAAAACAAAAAACAAAAACCAAAAACCAAAAACCAACCACCACCUUUUAUUUAAAAGUCUAACCUUGGGAAUUUGCUGGGGAGAAGGAACUCAGUGAAUAUUGCCCUGGGUCCUGGUAAUUCCACCUACUGAAGACAACUGCCCCUUCUGCUCAUAUUUCCUGAGUCAACAUGGCCGUUCCUAACUUUGAAGAGACUUUAGACAUUCUUUGUUACAAUGAACCUAGAAGAAAGAAGAGAAAUAUUACAGCGACUGUGCCCGGGACUGUAAGGCGGAUAAGACCCAGCAGGAAACAGAGUUCUAAAGUCACCAGGGAAGGAUUCCCACCUUGAAGGACUGUCAUCCUACUUGACAACCUAUUGCACUAUCCUAAUGAUUUUCAUAGUCAAGAACACUUUUCCAAAUUGCUUUUAAUUUUGAAAAAAUUAGUUAUUAAUUGAUCGAUUGUGUGUGUGUGAAGGCCACAGAGUAAUUGAUAGCAGUUGUUUCUCUUCUUCUACCUUGUGGGGCCUGGGGAUUAAACUCAAGUCUUUAUACUUGGUCAUAAGCACGCCCCCUACUGAGUCAUCUCACCUCCUGCUGGGUCACCUAACAACCUACUAAGUCACCUCACCACCUGCUGAGUCAUCUCACCAUCUACUGAGUCAGCUCACCACCUGCUGAAUCACCUCACCACCUGCUGAGUCAGCUCACCAUCUGUUGGGUCACCUCAGCACUUGCUGAGUCACCUCAUCACCUGCCAAGUCAGCUCACCAUCUGUUGGGUUACCUUACCACCUGCUGAGUCACCUCAGCACUUGCUGAGUCGCCUCACCACCUGCUGAGUCAGCUUACCACCUGCUGAGUCACUUCACUACCUGCUAAGUCACCUCACCACCUGUUGGAUCACCUCACUACCUACUGAGUUAAGUCACCACUAACUGAGUCAGCUCACCACCUGCUGAGUCACCUCAUCACCAGCUGAGUCACCUCAUUAGCCCAUUGUUUCUAAAUCCUUCUCACUCAAGUUUAAGACAUGAGCUUCCCACUGCUAAAAGAGAACAGAUGGUUACAAAAUUCUGCAUAUGAAUUCUUCGUUCUUUGGGAACAAACACACAUAAGUAUUAUGUACCUUGAAACACAUACCCACAUCCACACAACCCUGAUCCUGUGCAUCCAUUCACUGUUACACAGUGAAAAGUUCAGCAUUUCUUACCUUUUGGGUAUUUUCUUUCUUUUGAAAUAUGCGUGAUUGCCCCCAUCCCAACUCCACAGGAGGACCUCAUAGUUGGUACUGCUAACCUGGUGUAGGUUUCUAAGCCAAUGACUAGGAGGAUAGUAGACACAGGGGAGUCAGGCGGGUGGGCAGGGGUUGAAUCAGUUACUGUUGUUUUGCUAAAGGGACUACUCUCUAUCUAUGUACCCAUAGAUCACACCCUUGGUUAGAGAUGCUUUUGCUUGCCUUGGGACAUAACUGGUCCAUGUGCUGAGAAAAGGGACUCUUGGGUACUCAGCCCUAUGUGGGACAUCUGUAUAACACAUCCCCAGAGCCCAGGGAAUAUCAUGGGGGAAUAUAAGAGCUAUAGGAUGAGAAUUGGUGCUACAGAAUGCUGUUUGUGGAUAAGACAUGGCUGAUGCAUCCAUAACUCAGAGCAACAGUGGUGACUUGCUCAAGACCUUCACAAGACUGAGCUGUCAACCUUCUACCCUGGAUGGAAGACGGGAUGGUAAGAUCCCAUCCUUCCAUCGGAGCAACAGGCAAUUAAAACGUGCACAGGGAAGGAAGAACAUACUCUUUAUACUGCUGAGUCACGAUUGCAUUGCCCUCACCCAAAUAAAUGUAGGAAACCACAAUUAAAUGAGGUGAGUCAUCAAUAAACCACAAACAAACAAACAAGUAAGCAACAGACAUAAAAGUUGGAGGACUGAGGAGAAGGGAUUUAUUGGGAGGCGACAAGAGAAGACUACGACAACGGCGCAAUUUUGAUCAAAGAAUGUGCGAAACUGUAAAAAAAAAUAGUAAAUAUGUUAAAUACAUAAAAAUAAAGACAAAAAUACCACAGAUUAAGUACAAACUAACGGUUAGUUCCUCACAAGUAAUGUAUGCUAACAGUUUGCACUGUGCUUCUUAUAGUGCAGUAGUAGAUGAUGCUUACCAACUGGAUCCUUGCCUGUUGUUUUAAAGUUUAUCAGUUGGACUCCCCUCCUGGAGACAUGCAUCCUGCAUAUAAUAAAUUCUCAGAAAGAACGUG